rnacentral:lncRNA from 1 species
AAGAAGAAGAAGCAAAGAAUCCCUCGGUCAGUGUGACCUGCCAUCCGAAUGCCAAGUGAAUGGGUUUACAUGACACAGCCGCCCUGCGGAACUCAAAGUUUCAUUUCCAUGCGCAGCUCCACACGCUGAAUGGCCACAGGAGAUUUCGGGGCUUGGCGGAGCAGAUUCCUGCUAAGGGAACCUAGAGUAAAGCCAGCUGUCUAUUCUCAAGUGGUUCUCGCCAAAGGACGGAGCGGCUCUCGCUACGCUCGCGUUCGCGGAAGGCAGAAGUGCGCAAACGAGUCGGGAACGGCCCCGGAAUUAAGAAAAAAAAACGGAGAGAAAGAAGCGGAGGGAGGCGCGGCUGAGAAGGGAAAAAAUUUAAAAACCCCUUAGCAAGAAAAACAUAAGUGUAUGCCUUUGAACUUCCAAAAUGUCAAGGUCAUCACCUUUAACCUUUCGGAAUAAUUAGGCGCCUUAAGGUUCCUCUGCUAUUUUCCACCACCACCCACCCUCUCUCUGUCUCCCUCUCUCUCGCUCACCCUCCCGCCCCACACACGCACACACGGCAGCGCCCCGCAACGCGCAGCGCCCGCCCGGCCGAGGGGAGCGGCUCCGCGGUGCGGAAAGCCCUGCCGGCCCCGAGUCCCGACCCUUCCCCUGCCGGGCCCGGCUAUUCCCCGACCACCUUCUUCUCUUUUAUUGGAAAGGAAAUAAUCCUAAAG